CCAGAUGGCUGGAUGACCGCGCUUCGCAAGAAGCGAGGAAAGUCCGGGCUCCACGGAAGCAAGGUGCCGGAUAACGUCCGGCGGGGGCGACCCCAGGGAAAGUGCCACAGAAAACAAACCGCCGGCCCACCUGUAAAAGGGGGGUGCCGGUAAGGGUGAAAAGGUGCGGUAAGAGCGCACCGCGCGGCUGGUGACAGCGGCGGCAGGGUAAACCCCACCUGGAGCAAGACCAAAUAGGGACGGCCGGUCGGGCAGCUUGCUGCGCCGACAAGCGGGUUUCCGCGCUGUCGUCCGGGUCGGUCGCGACGAGGUGCGCAGCAAUGCGCAUCCCAGAGGAAUGGUCAUCCAAUGGGCUUCAGCCCAGGGACAGAACCCGGCUUACAGGCCAUCUGGCGCA
rnacentral:RNase_P_RNA from 1 species